AAGAGAACUCAAUAUGUUCUAUUUCUCUUCUCUCUCUAUCUGGUUCUGCUAGUGGUCGCUCACGGUGCUGCUAAUGGUGACUGGGAGGAAGCCGACGAUGGUUCAUGGUGGUUAUUGUAGUGGCGGGCAAUAUUUGCUGCAUUUUUUUUCUUCUUCUUCCCCGUGCAAGGGCACCAGCCUCUGUUUUGUUUUUCUUCCUCGUCUGCUUUUGUUUGUUCUUCUCUCUGCCAAAAAUUUCCCUUCUUUUUGGCCAUAUAACAACUAGCCUCCUCCUCCUCCUCCUCCAGCUCCGCCAUUAUGCUAAUUUAAUAGUUUUUUU
rnacentral:lncRNA from 1 species